UACGGGGGGGGCAAGCGUUGUUCGGAAUUACUGGGCGUAAAGGGCUCGUAGGUGGCCAACUAAGUCAGACGUGAAAUCCCUCAGCUUAACUGGGGAACUGCGUCUGAUACUGGAUGGCUUGAGUUUGGGAGAGGGAUGCGGAAUUCCAGGUGUAGCGGUGAAAUGCGUAGAUAUCUGGAGGAACACCGGUGGCGAAGGCGGCAUCCUGGACCGAAACUGACGCUGAGGAGCGAAAGCCAGGGGAGCAAACGGG
rnacentral:rRNA from 1 species